rnacentral:rRNA from 1 species
CCUACGGGAGGCAGCAGUGAGGAAUAUUGGUCAAUGGGCGCGAGCCUGAACCAGCCAAGUCGCGUGAGGGAAGACGGUCCUCUGGAUUGUAAACCUCUUUUGUCGGGGAGCAAAAGACGCCACGCGUGGCGUUCCGAGAGUACCCGAAGAAAAAGCAUCGGCUAACUCCGUGCCAGCAGCGCCGCUAAUACGGGGGAUGCGAGCGUUGUCCGGAUGUAUUGGGGUUAACGGGUGCGCAGGCGGAAGAUCAAGUCAGCGGUAAAAUUGAGGGGCUCAACCCCUUCGAGCCGUUGAAACUGGUUAUCUUGAGUGUGUGAGAAGUAUGCGGAAUGCGUGGUGUAGCGGUGAAAUGCAUAGAUAUCACGCAGAACUCCGAUUGCGAAGGCGACCUGCUAGAACAUAACUGACGCUGAUGCGCGAAAGCAUGGGGAGCAAACAGGAUUAGAUACCCCUGUAGUC